AGAGAAGGAAACACUGUUUAAUGAUAGCAGGAACAAAAUUGAAGAAUUGCAACAACGGAAGGAAGCUGAUCUGAAAGCCCAGUUGGCUCGCACCCAAAAACUACAGCAGGAACUUGAGGCUGCCAAUCAGGUGAUGGGGCUGGCUCCCAAGAUCCCCUGAGUGGAGAACCAGGACUGGCAGUGGGGGGAGGCAUGAGGUCUUUAGAGACCGAUUGGAAUGUUUGAGCUUUGGAGAUACAGCAAGCUGAUGAGUAUGCGUAAGCUCUCCAGGAGCUAGAAAAAUGGGAACUCAGAAACCUAAGAGCCUCAGGAAUUGGGAUAGGAGUUUAUAUGAAUCAGAGAUUCCUGAAGUGGGAGUCUAAGGACUCUGGUUGUAUGUAAGUUUGUAUGGGUCAGAACUCUCGCUGGAGUCUGGGAUCAGGAAUUAGGGUGAAUGUAGUUGCCGAACUCUCCCAUUAGAAACUGGGUGAUG
rnacentral:lncRNA from 1 species